GCUUCAUUGGAUAGGUCCGCUAGUUUCCGCGAGAACAUGGAGAAUCCAAUCUUAUCUUCUCUUCCUAACACGACAAGGAGUACUUCAACAAUUACACAAACAGAUGUCACUAACUUUUUUCAGUGCUUGCGUUUUGAUCCAAAAGCAAUGGUGACAGAGCACAAACUUAAUAGGCACAGUGAUUUCAAGAGACUCACUGGUUUAGCUUUAGGCAUGCCAGUAGAGGAUUCUCCUGUGGUGUCUUCUAAAGGGAAACCAUCCUCUUCUCCCUUUCCAGAGGAAGCCAGACG
rnacentral:misc_RNA from 1 species